rnacentral:rRNA from 1 species
GCCCACCCACACUAAUCUUCUAAAAUUACAAAUAAUAUAAACAACUAAACAACUCAGUAAAUAAAAAGUACAGAAAUGGAACAAAUAAUAAAUAAAAGUAACUAUUAACAAUUGUACCUUGUGCAUUAUGGUUUUACAAGAAAAUUAUUAAACACUAAAAUCCCGAAUUCUAUAUGAGAUGUUAAACUGCUGUUUUGAACCCACUAAUAACUGUAGAAAAAGUUUUAAAAGACAGUUUAACAGAGGCUACAUACCAUUCGCAUAAGAAUAUAGCUGGUUUUCAACAAACAUUAUACAUUAAAACAUAUAAUAAUAUUAUAGUGUAACACUAUUGAGGAUAAGCCCAAUAGUACAAGCAAUAUACAUAUAAAUAUCUAAUACCCUUCAUAGGCCUAAAAACAGCCAAAUAAAAUACUUUACCGUAAUGUAAAAAUGAUAAAAUUUAUAAAAUGAAAUGCUAAAUAAAGUUGAAAUAGCGGGUAAAUUAACCAACCCACUUAUACUAUGUAAAAAUAAGUAUUAACUACCAAUAAUAAAUAAAAUCUAGUAAUUAACAACAGAUAAACUACAAUAAUUAAUUAAGGAACUCGGCAAACUAUUAUUUCGACUGUUUAACAAAAACAUUGUCUCAUGUAUAAAAUAUGAGAUAAUACCUGCCCAGUGACACACAGUUAAACGGCCGCGGUAUCCUAACCGUGCAAAGGUAGCAUAAUCACUUGCCUAUUAAUUGUAGGCUAGAAUGAAAGGGUUAACGAAAUAAAAACUGUCUCAAUUAAUCACCUAAAAAUUAUUUUCUAUUUGAAGAAAAAUAGAUAUUCUCGAAGGACAAGAAGACCCUAUAGAGCUUAAUUUUAAUUAUAGAACUAUAACUAUAAAAAUAUUCGGUUGGGGCGACCCAGGGAUAAAUAAUCACCCACUACAUAAAAGAUAUAUUAAUCAAAUAAAUGACCCUUUUAAGAUCAUAAGACCAAGCUACCUUAGGGAUAACAGGCUAAUCCCACUCAAGAGUCCUUAUCAACAGUGGGGUUUGGCACCUCGAUGUUGGCUUAGGGUAUCUAUAUAGCGCAAAAGUUAUAUAAAGAUGGUUUGUUCAACCAAUAAUUCCCUACAUGAGCUGAGUUCAGACCGGCGUAAGCCAGGUUAGCUUCUAUCCACGACCAUUAACAAUCUACUCCCAGUACGAAAGGACCUGAGUAAAAUAAUUAUUAUAAAAAAGAACACAUGUAACUAAAUAUAAAUAAUAAAACAUAUAAACUAUA